AAUAUUCGCAGUCCUAUAUAAACUAUCGGGACAGUUUGUUACCGUUUUUGUAUCGGUGUCGAUAUCAUUCCAACAACGUCUACUGCUGUUGCUGCUGCUGCUGCUGCUGCUACCUCUGCUAUACCACGCGUUAUUGACCAUCGAAUAGUUUUAAAAUAAUGAAAAACUACGAUGAAAAAUAUCGACUGCGUACCAUGUUUUUACAUAAUAAUAUUAUUAUUGUGGCGUACCCUGUUGGAGAAUACGCUUAAUAAUAAAACGAUGAAAGAGGACAUAACUAUUGUGGAUAAUCGUAGACAUGUCUUAUGCAAUCAAACUUAACUGCAGCAUCUAUUUACACUUGCAGGAUCUGCAGUCUAAUAUAUUAUUGUACGGAUAUGCGCCGAAGAAAAUACAGAAGACGACCAACAAUCGACUUCAUCAAGGGAUCGGGGGAACGACGAAUAAGUUCACAGUAAUCUAUCGUUAUGUCAAAUCUCAAAGGGAUCAGAAAAAAGUUUGAGACAUCGAAAAAUUCUAGUUUUAUUGUAAUGAUAGUUUCUGGUGUAUUUAAAUUUAGUUCGAGAUAACAAAUAAGUCGACGUUGAUUAAAUUCAAAAAUUUACUGUAUAAUAUCUAAUUAUAUUAAAUCAAUCGCGGAAU